AGACGAAGGUGGCAACCGUUGUUCGGAAUCACUGGGCAUAAAGCGCACGUAGGCGGGAGUGCAAGUCGGGUGUGAAAUCCCUCGGCCCAACCGAGGAACUGCGCCCGAAACUGCAUUUCUUGAGGACAGAAGGGGAGCGUGGAAUUCCUGGUGGAGCGGUGAAAUGCGUUGAUAUCAGGAGGAACACCGGCGGCGAAGGCGACGCUCUGGUCUGUUUCUGACGCUAAGGUGCGAAAGCCAGGGGAGCAAACGGGAUUAGAAACCCCGGUAGUCC
rnacentral:rRNA from 1 species